rnacentral:misc_RNA from 1 species
CUCGUGACGCGUUGUUGCUCAGUGCGCUGUGUUGUGUGUUUUGUGUCACAACGGAAAUUAAUUAUAUUUUCUAGAACUAACCAAGACUUCGUACAUUAAUUGACUUAUAUGUGCUGAACGGUAUCCACCUCAACUUGAAUAAAUUAAGGACACAAUGUCAUGUCCAGUCUGAUGGAGAAUUUACAAUAUUAAUCUGUAUGAGCAUGGUCGUAAUUUGACCAAGCUGGUGGUCUGCAAAGCCAAAAAUCGCUGGACUCCUGAGCUUCAACUGCCCUAGAGAUGGACGGGGCGGGGCCGGCGCUGGUGCGGCGCGGCUCCAUGCGGAAGCUGCUGCCCAGCGUACCGGACCAGCAGCAGCAGCUGGCCAUGAGUAACCAGCUGAUCGACAGCCGGACCAGCUCGCCGCGCGGCGCCCACUGCUACGGGCCGUUCUUCCUCGAGUAUGCCCUGCUGGCCGAGUACAACCUGCUGCAGCGGCAGCGGCUGCCCGGCGUGUACACCGUGCCCGCCGCGCGGACGCCGCUGGUGUGGUUCGGAGUGCUGUUCAUACGGCAGGGCUACUACCAGGAGGGCGUGUUCCGGUUCUCCGUCAUCAUCCCUGAGCAGUUUCCCGACGGAGACUGCCCGCGAGUGGUAAUGGAGACGCCCGUCUUCCACCCGCUCGUCCACCCGGAGACGGGCGAGGUGGACAUCCGGCGCGGCUUCCAGCGGUGGAAGCGCAACUCGCAUCACAUCUGGCACGUGCUGCUCUACCUGCGGAAGGCCUUCUACAAGAUCGAGACGGUGCAGCCGUCCAACCCGGAGGCGGCCGUCAUGUUUGAGAAGGCGCGUGACAUGUUCGCGCUGCGAGCCGCCGAGUGUGUGAAGCUGAGCAGGGACCGGCUGAUGGACCCGCCGGCCUCUGACGACCCGCACAGUAUUGUGUUCAGCCAGUUCCGGCCCGAGGUGCACGAGCCCGUCCGACAGGCCAUGCUCCAGCCCAAGAAGGAGGAGGACCUGCCCUCGGGACCGGCCAGCGCCGGCUACUCCUGGGUCCAGCCAGGCACUCUGGACAUCUUCUCCAAGCCCGAGUCGCUCUGAGGUCCGCCCGCCGCGCCGGACAGCCCGAGUGUGACGCUGAGUGACGUUACGGAGGGGUGAUGUGACGGCGAGUGACGUGACGGACGGGCAGCGUGACGGCGAGUGAUGUGACACUGAGUGACGUGACGUCAGCCGGGCCCUCGGACGGUGAUGCGCCGCCGAACCAAAGCGCCCGAGAGACUGUGAUUGUGUGUGUGAUAAAGAGUUACUUCCUCGAAGACGCUAGUACGUGGCUCCAACUAAGGACUGCAACAGCUAACUUUAAACUCGAAGAUUACCAUCGUCAAGAGUGACGUAAUGAAUCAUAGUGCAGUCUGCAGGUGGACAAACACCCCGCGCAACUGACUUCCUAUUAGUGGCGACGGAUGGAGAGACAUCUACUACGCUGUGAGGCGGACGACCUUGCAGUAGCGACCCACCCGACGAGCCGUCUGGCAGUACAGGGGACCGCGGCGACAAAAUCAAUGAUAUUCUGAGAACGAGAGCCGCGGGGCUGCGAUAUUGACCGUAGUUAGCCGUGUAGUGCGGGACCCGCCGAGACGGGUUCGGCGAAUAUUGUAUAACAAUAUUGUAUAACAAUGUAAAACAAGACGUAGUUUGGCAGCCGAUUCAGAGUGAAUUUCGCUUGCAUGCGUCGUUAGGAGUUGAAGUCUGAGGCAUGAAAUACGAAGCACAAGUACAUCCUAAUAGUUCUUCACCAUUAAUAUUUAAACAUUAACAUGUAUGUACCGAUUGUAUGUGAUGCUAUGCUACGUUUGUUCCUCCCUGAUCAUAAUUGAUAUUCGUAAUUGUAUGUUGCUGAUCUAUGAAGGCGAUUGCCGAUAUUGUAUCCCGCUAGUGUGUCUUCCAUGGUUGCGCGCAUUCCCUCUAUGAAGUCCACCGUUACCCCGAUUCCAGGGGCGAAGUGACACUGACAUGGAUAAUAUGUCCCGCAUAAUGAUGUGUGAAUGAUCCGUCUCGUCUGACGAAUUCCUAACCCGUUUUAAUGCCGACACUGACGUGCUUCCUGUGAUUCUAGUAGCGGCGGAACCGAACCAGGCCUGGACGCAGCUUCUAAUUAGAGCCUGGCGCCGCCGUGGUUAUUUAAUAAAUGGCUAAUGCAUC